rfam:Albugo candida, Ac Nc2, WGS project CAIX01000000 data, contig: AcNc2_CONTIG_147_length_56756
AUACCUUCUCGGCCUCAUGGCUAAGAUCAAGUGUAGUAUCUGUUCUAAUCAGUGUGAAAACUGAUUUCUGACUAUUAAGUCAGAUUUAUUUUCACAUUUAUUUUUAAUGACGAUUGAAUUAUUGCGCAGCUUGCUGCGUAAUUGAUUCGAUCUGGUUUCCAAGGGCUUACACCUCACCCUUGUGAAGCCGACCCUGC